GCCCGCUCGCCGGAAGACCAAGGGUUCCUGUCCAACGUUAAUCGGGGCAGGGUGAGUCGACCCCUAAGGCGAGGCCGAAAGGCGUAGUCGAUGGGAAACGGGUUAAUAUUCCCGUACUUGGUGUUACUGCGAAGGGGGGACGGAGAAGGCUAUGUUGGCCGGGCGACGGUUGUCCCGGUUUAAGCGUGUAGGUGUGUGUUCCAGGUAAAUCCGGUUCACUUUAACACUGAGGCGUGACGACGAGGCACUACGGUGCUGAAGCAACAAAUGCCCUGCUUCCAGGAAAAGCCUCUAAGCAUCAGGUAACAUCAAAUCGUACCCCAAACCGACACAGGUGGUCAGGUAGAGAAUACCAAGGCGCUUGAGAGAACUCGGGUGAAGGAACUAGGCAAAAUGGUGCCGUAACUUCGGGAGAAGGCACGCUGACACGUAGGUGAAGUGAUUUACUCAUGGAGCUGAAGUCAGUCGAAGAUACCAGCUGGCUGCAACUGUUUAUUAAAAACACAGCACUGUGCAAACACGAAAGUGGACGUAUACGGUGUGACGCCUGCCCGGUGCCGGAAGGUUAAUUGAUGGGGUCAGCGCAAGCGAAGCUCCUGAUCGAAGCCCCGGUAAACGGCGGCCGUAACUAUAACGGUCCUAAGGUAGCGAAAUUCCUUGUCGGGUAAGUUCCGACCUGCACGAAUGGCGUAAUGAUGGCCAGGCUGUCUCCACCCGAGACUCAGUGAAAUUGAACUCGCUGUGAAGAUGCAGUGUACCCGCGGCAAGACGGAAAGACCCCGUGAACCUUUACUAUAGCUUGACACUGAACAUUGAGCCUUGAUGUGUAGGAUAGGUGGGAGGCUUUGAAGUGUGGACGCCAGUCUGCAUGGAGCCGACCUUGAAAUACCACCCUUUAAUGUUUGAUGUUCUAACGUGGACCCGUUACCCGGGUUGCGGACAGUGUCUGGUGGGUAGUUUGACUGGGGCGGUCUCCUCCUAAAGAGUAACGGAGGAGCACGAAGGUUGGCUAAUCCUGGUCGGACAUCAGGAGGUUAGUGCAAUGGCAUAAGCCAGCUUGACUGCGAGCGUGACGGCGCGAGCAGGUGCGAAAGCAGGUCAUAGUGAUCCGGUGGUUCUGAAUGGAAGGGCCAUCGCUCAACGGAUAAAAGGUACUCCGGGGAUAACAGGCUGAUACCGCCCAAGAGUUCAUAUCGACGGCGGUGUUUGGCACCUCGAUGUCGGCUCAUCACAUCCUGGGGCUGAAGUAGGUCCCAAGGGUAUGGCUGUUCGCCAUUUAAAGUGGUACGCGAGCUGGGUUUAGAACGUCGUGAGACAGUUCGGUCCCUAUCUGCCGUGGGCGCUGGAGAACUGAGGGGGGCUGCUCCUAGUACGAGAGGACCGGAGUGGACGCAUCACUGGUGUUCGGGUUGUCAUGCCAAUGGCACUGCCCGGUAGCUAAAUGCGGAAGAGAUAAGUGCUGAAAGCAUCUAAGCACGAAACUUGCCCCGA
rnacentral:rRNA from 1 species